rnacentral:rRNA from 1 species
UACGGAGGGUGCGAGCGUUGUCCGGAAUCAUUGGGCGUAAAGGGCGCGUAGGUGGCCCGGUCAGUUCGUGGUGAAAGCGCGGGGCUCAACCCUGCGUCGGCCAUGAAUACUGCCGCGGCUGGAGCACUGUAGAGGCAGGCGGAAUUCCGGGUGUAGCGGUGGAAUGCGUAGAGAUCCGGAGGAACACCAGUGGCGAAGGCGACACGCUGGGCCGUACCUGACACUGAUGCGCGACAGCAUGGGGAGCAAACAGG